rnacentral:lncRNA from 1 species
AAGUGAUUCUCCUGCCUCCGCCACGCGAUGCCUCUUCAUGGGUGGUGGAUGAAGAAACUGAACAGGGCCAUGAUCCUUAUCUGUAAUUUCCCGGCUACCACACUGCUUUGGUGGUCUUCCCUUGUCUCUUCCUGGGUAGAAACAGAACUACCUGGAGAUCCCAAUGUUCUUGUCAGUGCACUUUUCAUGGACUGCAGUGGUAAGACGAUGUGUUGGAUGCCCAAACACAAACCAACCUACUUCAUACUGGGUGGAAU